CUUUUUCAGCCUCCUUCUCACUUAGAAAAACCUCUGGAAAGUUCAAAGUGUCAAGAAAAUUGUUGCAGAAUUGUGAUAAGACACGAUAUUCAAGCAGUGAAGACUUCCAUAACACUACCUUAAUGCCUUAUUAAUCUAACAUGUGUCAGCAUGUGAAUGUACCGAUCACCAUCUUAAUAAUCUUCGGCAACUUGGGGAGAUUGGACUCUGGUGACAGAUUCCACGCAAGAUGAGGGUUUGAUACCAUGUGAACUCUCCCCAGACACGGUUUUGUGAGCAGCUGUGUACAGAGGAUUGAUGUGUUAAGAGCCCCUGAAAGGAUGGAAGAAAACGGUUACACAGUUUCAGAGGAGAAGCCUGACAGAUUGUGUGCUAGUUUUGAGAAGCUGGCCUUUCUCCUAGAUUGGUGGGUGUACAACAGCCAGGCCCCACAGCAAAGGGGACAAGCUGAAGCUCUGGACCAUCACCUGAGCCAAAUGAAGACCUUCCACCAGCACUGCCUUUCCCAUGCAGAGAAAAGGAAGAGAAGGAAACCUUAUGAAAAGAAACAUUAAUGCUGCAGUAAAAAUCUCUGACAUCAGCUGCUGCUUGCCAGCUCAGUGCA